GUUAGGGUUAGGUUUGGUUAGGUAAAUAGUUUCUUGGGUUAGGCGAGGGGAACCGAGCCCUCCCUCUCCCGGACACAGGGACGUAGUCCCCUUUCCAGGAUCGGGAGGGGGGUGCACGGUCCUUCCCCCAACGCUCCCCUCCGUCCUCCCGUUCCCGGUGACGCGCCUGUUGGCGUCGUCGUCCAUAGUGGACUUGGGUCCACUGUCCUUUCCACAUUUUUGUGUUUUUAAUUUGUGUGUCUAUUUAUCUUUUAUCCAGUAAUAUGUAUUUAUUUAUUUAUUUAUUUAUUGUGGUGGAUUCGCCUUUGCUAUAUAAAUAAUAAUGGUUGUUUUCAAUGAUGCUAUUUAUUAGGUUCGAUCUGUAUUGAUAAUGUAUUUUUAUAUAAUUGCCAAAAAAAACACAAAAACCUAUUUUUUACAAAACCCCAAAAAAACAAAAAAAAUGGCCAAAUCUGAAAUAAGCUGCGACUUUCGGUCCAAUUGUGUGUGCUCUCAGACAACGUUUGGGCUCCUUGAGCCUUCUUCAGGUCUACUGGCACACAGUCACAGCACAGCAGGUUUGUGAUGUUCGCACUCCGGUGAACCAACUCGAACUGAGCCCAAGUAAGUGCACCUCCCUAUAUAACCUCUGCUGUCCUUGUAUUUGCUUUUCUUUUUACACCACUAACAUUUAGUGCUUCAAUGUAGAAAUUAACCACAUAUUGGCCAAAUGUUUUGUAAUGUCCAUAUAAAUCAACGUAUAUCCAACAGAAUGAUGUCCUAACUUGACUGUCAUUAACGGAACAGAGGAUAGGACCCAAAAAUGCACGACUCCAAAACAAAUGGACAGUUUCAAAAAAGAGGGGUUUAAUAUACGGGUAUAGGUCGGUACACAGGCAGGCAAUCCAAAAAAGACAGCAGUAUCCAAAACCACGAGGCAAAGAGGCGAGGUCGAUAAUCGGAACAGGAUCUAGUCUAACUGUGAGUCUGUGACGUGGAAACAAGGAAUGCUGGAACACGACGACAAGGUACAACGAACUGGUGACGAGAGGGAUUGAGACACGCGGUUAAAUACAAGGGGUAAUUAGGGUGAACGAGGCACAGGUGGUGAAGAUGCUCUCAGGAGCAGGUGUGUGUGUGUGUGAAACAGGGGGAAGACCAAAACCCGAACACACACCCAUGACAUUGACAUACCAUUGUUUUUAUUAUAACACUUGAUAUAUCAUCGCUUCCUGUUUUCACUCCUCCCCAAGAUCCCCGAGGCCGCCAAGACCCACAAGCUGGUGGAGCAGGAGCUGGCACACGCCGUCAACGCCAGCGCCACGGUGCUGACUGAGGCCAAGCUGUCCAGCCCUGAGUUUUGGAGUGGCAGCACAGCUGUGGAAAUUGUCAACAGCAGCAAAGUUCUCCAGGCUGAGACAACCCUGCUUCUGGAUGGAAAACAUCCGGUAACCUCUCUCGCCACUAGCUGCUGCCACUUUUUGGCCAUCUGAUCCUCCUCAGUCCGAGUUCCUUGAGGAAGAGGGGCUCCGCUUAACCCUGAACAGCCUGAGUGCUGACCUCCACAAACUGGAUGACAUCCACUGGAUCUGUCCACUAACGCACUGUGCUGAGGAGGGGUUGGUGCGUCCCAGUAGUAAAAGCAGCAUAACUCUUAAGAUCAUGCCAAGGUGAAGAGGGAGAAGGAAAAGCUCCACAAGCAGAAGUCAAACCGCUCGCUCUCAGGAACACGGGAUGCCAAGUGUACGACUCCUGAAGCAGAAUCGCCAGGCAACUGAUGAUCUUUUCCGGCCCCUAACCUUGACCGCCGCGAGUGAGGAGAUGCCGUGCUCUUAUCUGCCGGCACCCGCUGUCCUGACUAUGGCGUAGGCGGCAAGGAUUAGCUGUUUUGCGUUUCCUUACUGUGCAUUUUUUUUUUCGAAGCGGUGUCACUCGCAUUGCUCCUCCACUGGCCUGCUGUGCUAAUGAAAGAGCCUACAAUUCUGUCAUUUUGUCAUAAACAGUGUCUACACGUUGCUUGCAUGCAGCAGAGUACAGAACAUCUUUUAGAAACGACACGAUGGAAACCGCCUUCAGACUGAAAUGAGACUUUUCGGGGACACCUUGUUUCUACAUCACGCAACCUUCAAUGGCACCAGAAGCCGAUGUGCAGAAAUCUUGGAUUUUGAACAGAAAAGAAAAACAUUGACUGUAUUUGUGUGUUGAGCUGUUAAUAAUACUACUGAUAAUAAUACUGAUAAUGAUGUGCACAUGCAAGGUGCUCAAGCGGUUUUGACUUUAUUUGGCUUGUCGUGACCUCCACUAAAGAGGUCACGGGGGUGGUUCAUGAUCAGCUGACUCGAGAUGUAACGCACCAAUGUGAAUGUUUGCUUUGCCAGUAGUUCCCAAUUGUUUUUAUCGUCUUGCUCUCGCGGGUUUGCUGUCCAAUCCCCCAGGUCCUCCCAACCAUCCCCCCCGUGCGUUCAUAAACACGAUAGGAUCAAUCAAGAAAUCAAGUUGGCCAAACGGGAAAAUUUGUAGUUUGCAUAAGCAUGUUUAGUCUAAGCUCAUGCUUGCUGUGAGGGGCAUACUAAAUGAUAGCGCGUGCAGGAACAUGCUUGUUUCCGCUCACGGUCGAGCAUUGCCAAGCUCCACUGUCGUCGGGUGCUGGUCAGUGUGCGCUGCUGCCUUUUUGCCUUCAUGGCUUUUGUGGUGUUGUGCCAAGUAGAGCGACACACUCCAGUGGUGUGUGCAAUGUGGCGUUCAUUUCAAGUUUACUGUGUCUGGGCUCGCACUUUACAGACUCCUUGAUGGGGGAAAUGUGCGUGUACACGCGUUUACGUCAAAUUAGGUGAAGAAUAUGACUUUUUAUUUGUGAUGAACUAUUAAAUAUAUAAUGUAAAAAUGCACGCCCAUCGAUGUGAUCCAUGGCUGUGGCGUUCCUGCUCCUGCGUCCACUGAUGCGCAGGGCCAACGUGUUACCAUGGUA